rnacentral:ncRNA from 1 species
UUGAGAGUAGGAUGAGUGCGUUAAGUGUCAGUGGACGGAAUGUUGCUGCUGGACGAAGAGGGACUGAAACCCUCGCGAUGCUCAUUCGCAUUCGCUCAG